AAACAAACAUAAGGAUAAGUACAUACAAAUACAAUGGCCAUUUUGUGGUACCUUUUUAAAUUUAUCUACAGUACAAAAAUAGUUCAAUUUGCACAAAUAAUAAACCCGAUACAAAUGAAUUUUAAGUUUCUUUUAAAUGUCUUUCUCCAUGUAGUAGUAAAAGGGCGUUAACCAUUUUUAAUAGAGUUCUUUUAGCAUAAAAACAAAGAACAAACAACGCGUGUACUUAUGUUCUUUCAUAAUAAUAAACUAAGAACGUCCAUAAAACCCAUUCCACCUUAAAGUAGAUUCAGUGGCUCAGAGGUAUGCGCUCUGAAACCAUAGCAGAUGGUUAAAGGGUCAAACCCUGCUUGCUUGCCUGCCUGCAUAUGUCAAGAUGUGUGCUGGGAGCUCUAACAAUAUCAUGAUGAAACUAAGAUGUAUGAACACUAACACCUCAUUAAGUGGUUCAGGUUUGGCCUGCUAGACUUAAAGUGCUUUGUAAUAUUGCUUAUGCAGACCAGAUAUAAAAAUAGAUAUGUAUACCAUGUGACUUGUCUUCAACUUGUAGGACCCAGUGGCUUAGUGGUAUGAGCACUGGUGGUGGAAGGGUUGUUCCAGGAUUCAAACUCAGAACAGAAAGCUCAGUGCUUUCUGAUAUUUUUCUGUACUCCAGAAUAUGAAAAAAUAAAUAUACUAUGAUGUGAGCACUGACAAGGGAUCAGGAAGUCCAGGUUUCAAGUCCAGCUUGCUUGGAGGUUGCGUACUACUUUGCAUUUCUUAUACAAUCAAAGUGGCUUUAAAAAAGAUAAACACGCCAGGAGACGUGCCACAAGUGUGCGGGACCCAGUGGCUCAUAGGAUGUAAGCAGUGACAAGGAGUAAGGAGAUCCAGGGUUCAAAGCCAGGUGGCUGACCUGCACAUGUAGACCAGAGGGUGUAACUCAAGAUGGUCAGAAGGUGUGACCAGACCAAGAAAGGUUGGAGAUGGAGGUGCAAGUGCUAUCCAAGAAAGGAGCCAGCAGUCCAGCAGCUGAACGAGGAGGAAGACCCACAUGUGAAGUCUGGAGGAUGUGACCAGAUACCCACACCGUGAAAGGGG